GAUGAACGCUGGCGGCGUGCCUAAUACAUGCAAGUCGAGCGAACAGACGAGGAGCUUGCUCCUCUGACGUUAGCGGCGGACGGGUGAGUAACACGUGGAUCAUCCCCCUAUAAUACGGGGAAAAUCUCGGGAAAGCGGAGCAUAUACCGGAUAAUAUACUGAACCGCAUGGGUGAAUAGAGAAAGACGGCUUUGCGGUCACUUCUCGAUGGAUACGCGCCGCAUUAGCUAGUAGGGACGGUCAAAGCCUUUCACGGCAACGAUGCGUAGCCGAGCUGUGUGGCUGAUCGGCCACCCUGGAACUGGGACACCCUCCAGACUCCUACGAGAGGGCGCAGUAGGGAAUCUUCCGCAGUGGGCGAGAGCCUGGCGGAGCGACGCCACGUGAGUGAUGGCAGUCUUCCGAUCGUAAUACUCUGUUAUUAGGGAAGAACAAAUGUCUAAUUAACUAUGCACGUCUUGACGGUACCUAAUCAGAAAGCCACGGCUAACUACGUG
rnacentral:rRNA from 1 species